rnacentral:miRNA from 1 species
AUUGGAUAACGGGAUUACAUGGU